AGGAGUGUGUCAAUGUGCGUGUACAUUCUUACGGCUCCCUGCACAUUCUAACCACCACCACCACCACCACGGCAGCUGCAGCCACCGCUGAUCCUCUGUGCCGUGAACUGCUUCAAUGUAUUGCCUUUUUCUCUGCUCCCUUUCUUCCGUGCAUGUUCGGCAGCAUACACACACGCCGACUUGAUAGUGACGAUGCAUUACAGCACCCCCUCGACUGCCCCACCGCCCCAGCAACUCCCAUCACCGACGGAGGCGGCUCGUGCGCGCGCCCUCCGUGCUGAGGCACGCCUGCGCACCGUCCUCCAACAGGUGAGCGCGCUUCGCUGUGCGCAGCAGGAAGGAGGUGGAGAUCACGUUAGCCAGCACCGUGACCCGGUGGCCGGAGCGGCGGAGGCAACGUCAGAAUUGUCUCAGGCGUCUUCCUCCCCACCCGCUCAUCGCAAUGCUGCGCCAACUGCGGCCGCAGCAGCAGCGUCGUCGCCCCCUCCCUGCCCGCUGGUCCUCGAGUUCCCUCUCGCCCCGCUGGAGCAGCGAGUGAAGCAGAAGAAGGUGCGCGAUGCCACUCGCCAGCAGCGUCGAGAUGCUCGCCAAGCGGCGGCCGCCGCAGCGGCGCCGACGACGACGGCAUCGGCGACGGCGGCGAACAUGGUGCGCAACGCGCUGUCGCAGCCUCUUGGCGUCGUAGCUGCUCGCUUCCUCUCCGCUGCAGCAUCUGGGGCUCCAUCGAUCUUCCCGGAUGUGGCCAUUACUUCCACCAGCGCCGCCGACGGUCACAUGAGCGACUGGCUUGCCUCGACACCGCCGCCAGCGGCAGCUCAGAUGUCACACGCUUUGCCGUCGACCGCCACCACUUCAGGCCCGUGCCCCGGCACCUCUCCGCACCGUGCAGGCCGUGGCAAGCAUACUGCCCCUCCCAGCCCUGCAAGCAGCAUGCACGAGAUUCCCCAUCAGUCGCCCCCGCCGCAUGAGCGAGGUCAGCGCUGUCGGUGCGGCCACUCUCCCCAUCGGCACCAGCGACUUCUGUCAAGUGUGUCCGCCUCUCGUCACUCGCGGGACAGCGCCGGCGACAGCCCGAGCCCGCUCGCGCUGCUACUUCGGACGCCGCCCUCCGUGAGUGGCAGUCAGGGUCCCCCUCACCGCCAUCAGCCCUCGCUCCAUCACCCAGAGCAGGAAGACCGACAUCGCCACCAUCGACGGCAUCAUCACCACCAUCAUCGGUGGUGUUGCGGCGCCCGUGAGGCGGUGAGUAGUGCUCCAGCUCCAACUCAAAGUGCCACCAUUAACGCGAUGUCCAAGCGCAAGCAGGUGCGGCCGUCGUUGCGGCAUCAGGGCAGCACGCCAACGACGAAGACAUCGCACCCCGCAGGCGUCUUCGGCAACAGCUCUAUCAGUUUCCUCGCGCGGACGCUGCGCGAGGCUGGCACUGCGGCGCUGGCGGCCUCGCCUCUGACUAGGAGUGAAAUGCGGCACACCCCCGCUGCCGGCCACCGCCACGCCGGUCAUUACCGUGGCAGUCGGCUUAGAGAGAAGCUAGAGCGGAGUAGCGAGGGUGUCAACGUCAGCGUCGCGGCGUCUUCGCCUACGCGCACUCGCUGGCCCGCGUCGCCGGGGCCGUCCCACAGCGGCAGCAGUUCCCACGCCGCAGACGGGUGCCUCCCCCACUCCUCACACUCCUCAUGCAACUUCUCGUGUGUAUGCUCGAGGUCCGGCUGUGACAGCUGGAGCGGCAGUGCGGCCUCGUGGAGCGCCAGCAGUUCGCGGACGUCUUUCGCGCGUGGGGUUCGCUCGCCACCGUCGGAGCCGUUCACGCCGCUGACUAUUCCUCUAGACGGCCGCUACGACCCGCAUGCGCCGCUGCUGCCCCUCAUGGGGUGCUACGGCGACACUCCCACGCGCGAGGUGUUCUGCCGCGUGCCAUCUACGUCGACACAGCACACCGCAAGCCGCUCCUCAACACCGAUGUCCUCGGAGUGGUCCAUAGAGUCGUCCAGCACCGCCCAAACCGCCGUGGGCGCAGCAGAAGCAGCGCCGGUUGCUGGCUUCUGCGCACUGAACGCGCCUGGAGAAGCUGUGAGCACGGCCGCUCGGGCACAGGGCAGCGAGGAGCCUGUGAAGAGGCAGCGAGAGCAGCAGCUCGAGAGCCAGCACCGCCGGCGCUCGAUGCUUUUCUCCUCUACGGCCAACACGCAGCAGAGCUACAUGGCGGAGAUGGACGCCAUCGAACGUGGGGUGGUGGCCCCGUACGUGUCUUACCUCUUCUCGCCCGAGGCACGUGUGAUCGACCUCCGCCAGCUGAAGGGCCGCGCGCGCCUUUGCGACCCGGCGCCAGCGCUGGAAGCGACGUGUCUCGGAUUCUCGCGCGCCGCGGAUGAGUACUUGGUCGGGACGUCGUCGGGCCUGCUCUGGCGGGUGCCCGCCGGUGGCGGUGCGGAGGCGAUGCGAGCAACGCCUCUCGGCAGUCUCUGGCCCCCGUACGCGCCGACGAGCGCGAACCCGGCCGCCACUGCCGCCUCGGGCACCACCACAGGGGCGGGAGACUCCUCAGGUGCGGUCGGCGACGCGCCGGGCGGCGGUCCCUCAAAGCUGCUGCCCGUCCCCCUCGCCGGCCACACGGCAGCCAUCCUCUCCAUCGCCUUCAACGACGACGGGGCCUUGUUCGCGACGACAGGGAUGGACGGGUGCGUGAUCGUGUGGAACGCCAGCACGAGCGCCAAGCUGCGCCGCAUCAGCGCUGUGUGGGCAUCCUCAACGUCGCCAUCGUCGGCAGCGGCAUCGACUUCCAUGUAUGCCGACGUCGACGGCGCGGCCAGUCAGCGUGCGCCGCACCUCGUCCACUUCAUGCCACAGAACAACAACUACCUCCUGGUCAGCUACCUCGGCAGCAGCGAGCUGCAUCUUUACAACAGCUCCACAGGGCUACCUGUGACAAACGUCGCUGGCGCCGCACUGGCACGCGCUGCGGCGAGCACGGUAAAGGUCCAUCACAAGAGUGCCGUGGGGAGCCACAGCAGAGGCAGGGCCGGCGCCGGGUCUGCCGCAUCGUCAGGGGCCAUCACCGCCCUCGCUGUCGACCCUGUCGCCUCGCCCUUCUUCUUCUCAGGCGAUGCCGGCGGUACUGUUGUGAUGUGGACGUACCGCGCCGGCGACGUCGUGGCCAGGGCAACCCUGCGCACCACCACCGCUGCCUCCUCCCCCACCGCUUUGGCCGGCAGCGGCGCGGGCAAGCACGCUCGCACCCCGACCUACGUGGUCGAUCCCCUCCUGCACGGCACCCACGGCACGGUCGGCAGCAGUGGUGACGGCAUGGCAGCCUUCUCGACCCCGCUCUACCAGCUCCCGGAGCUUCGUCGUGUCACGGCACUCGCGCUGCCGGAGCAGCUGGGCGGCAUCGCCGCGUUGGGGGUUAGCACCCUCCACAUAUCGCAGCUGCACAGCCUCUUCCGCCGCUGUGGGCCACGGCGGGGUGCAGCGUCGGCGCAGAGCACGAGCGAUGGCGGUGCCGUUGGUCCGCGACCCGCUCCACGACACCCAUUCGAGUCAGCCGCGGAGGUCUUCCGCGCAGUGGCGCAGCAGAAUCGCGCGUGCUGGACGGCGGCGCUGCCGGGUGCUGCUGCCGCGGAUGGCGUUGCUCGAAAUCAACGCGAUUCUCGCGGCAGAAGCGACGCGCACCCGCAGGCCGCCCUGCACGGCGGGCCCGCCGCCUUCACUGCCGUCACAGUCACAAGCGACGACAACAGCAGCCUCCCGCAGGUCCUCGCCAGAUGGCCGUCGCGUCUGUCGGAGACGUUCUCGGCGCUCUGGAGGGGCGGUGACGGUGCACCUCCGUCCGCGGCCCACUCUGGUCUUGCACCUGCAAGGCACGAACGGAAGCUAGCAUCGACGGCAGCGAAGGGGUCCAUGGCAGCUGCAUCCACCGCCGGCGCUGCCGCACCUGCCACCGCACCCUCCGAAGGCGAUUUUCUUCACCAGUUGCGCGACGACGCUCUCGAUGCUGUCUGUCCAUUGCUCGUACUUGUUACGCUACCGUGUGAUACCAUCUACGCCCUUGGGGUGCUCCUGCAGCUCCAGCCCGGUGGUCGACGCGGCAGCGCCGGAGGCAGAGGGGGCGUGGUCGCUGCAGGAACUCCACAGGUCAGCUACUGUCUGUACCCCCUCUUGAAGACGACGAGCCCAAGUCGGCUGCGGCACCUCGGUGUUGGCGCGGUGCAGUCCCCUGAUAACCCGCGGUUGAUCGUCGUCGCUACGCCGUGCGAGGAAGGCUUCGUGCGGGUGGAGCCGCUGCUGCACGUUGCGACACCGUCACCGUCAGUGCAGCGCACACCCCCAGCUGGCGUGUCCGCAAUCCCCACCCCGGGUGUAGGCUCUCUGCAGCCUGGCAACAAGGCGGCGGCGUACGACGACGGCAGACACCGCAGUCACAGUCACGUGCUUGCCACGUUGCCCAUGCCGUACGGUGGGCGCUGUACCGGUGUUGCGUGGUCGCCGAACGGCCGCUUCCUUGUGGCCAUCACCGCCGAGGGCGUCAUUUACCAGUGGGCACGCGUGUACCUGCUGGGCCCAUCCUCCCCCUCGGCCAACGCCGCCGCAGCAGCAGCGACUGCAGCGAAGGGGAACGUGGCGCCGGUCGGCGGCCGUGACGGUGUAGCCCCUGCCCAUGGCAUGGCACCAGCCGAGGGCGAAGUGGAGGUGAGGUCCUCGCCAGCAGUGGGUGCGGCUGCCGCGGCAGCGGCCCGGCGUCGCGGCUGCGCCACGGAGCGGUCAGACACGAUGAACGGGGUGGCGUUGCCGGCGGCGCAUUUCACUGGCCUUCUUGGGGCUCCGAUGGCAAGCGCGGCGGCAUCGCCACCGGGUCUGGCGGCGGGCGAAAAUGCUGCUGCGCGUGCCGCCUUCAGCGAGGAGGAUGCGUGGCGGAAAAGCCUCCAUCGUGAGCUAGAGCGACAGCGGCGCGCGCAGGCGGCCCUGAAGCUUGUGGCACAUGUCAGGGCUGGUGGGGAAGACGGCGCCAUGAGCAGCAGCGGCUACUGGCUGGACGAUGACGAUGCGGCGAACUCGGCGGUCACGGAGGACUGGCUCGAGGGUGACGAAACGGAGUCUUAGCUGUGAAUUCUCUCGCAUCUGCGCGUGCGUGAAUCGGUGUCGUGUGCAUGUGUGUCUCUACCUCUGUGUGCUUUCUCUAGUCGCACUUCGCUUGCCGCUACGCACAAGUGAUCCGGUCGUCUUCUGUAUUGCUCUACGCCAUCGUCAGCGUUCUUGGACGGCCCGCGCCUUCUCGCUGCAUCUGCAGGCGAGCUUUCAGCUCGAUGGCGACUGUCAACGGCGUCGAUGCGCUGACGUCGCGGCAUUGACGCACACACACGUGCGCACACACCGACACGAACCCACUCACUCAUCUGAUCAUCUCCUUUCUCUCCGCCUGCCUGCCUUGCCUGCUGCGGCGUCGGAAAUCGCACGCGCGCACAUCCGCGCCUCUCCUGCGAAUUGCACGAUGCCGCCCGCAUGUGCGCGUCUUGUGUACCUCUUUCCUUUGUUGUUUGCCCCGCCUAUUCCAG
rnacentral:misc_RNA from 1 species